CAACGUGUCACCCGUACGUGGUGCCGGUUGGGAGCUCAAGGGUGGAACAUCAUUAUUUUCGCUCAACCCGCACAGCGUCGUUAAGGUUCAUGCCUUGUCGACGGUGUGAUGAUGGUGGGCUAGAACGAACACGUUAUUGGGUCCUGGAAUCACAAACCAACCAGCAAUGGUUGGGUGUGGUUUCAACCAACAGGACCAACCCGUCCAGACCAGCAGCCUUCGGUUGUGUGGGUGUGGGUGGUGUUUGGUGGUGGUUUGAGAAUCGUAUAGUGGACGCGAGCAUCAACAACACAGGCAUUGUCUGUGUUGUUAUGUAAUGUGAUUUUUCUUGUGAAAUCUUAGUGUGAAAUUUUCGCAUACACAUUUUGCAACCAGAUUUUUUUGGGUGUGAUGAGUGUGUAAGAGCGCAUUG
rnacentral:misc_RNA from 1 species